rnacentral:piRNA from 1 species
UCAGAGCCAACUUCCUACUUUCCAGC